rnacentral:rRNA from 1 species
ACGAACGCUGGCGGCGUGCUUAACACCUGCAAGUCGAACGGAAAGGCCCUGCUUUUGUGGGGUGCUCGAGUGGCGAACGGGUGAGUAACACGUGAGUAACCUGCCCUUGACUUUGGGAUAACUUCAGGAAACUGGGGCUAAUACCGGAUAGGAGCUCCUGCUGCAUGGUGGGGGUUGGAAAGUUUCGGCGGUUGGGGAUGGACUCGCGGCUUAUCAGCUUGUUGGUGGGGUAGUGGCUUACCAAGGCUUUGACGGGUAGCCGGCCUGAGAGGGUGACCGGCCACAUUGGGACUGAGAUACGGCCCAGACUCCUACGGGAGGCAGCAGUGGGGAAUAUUGCACAAUGGGCGGAAGCCUGAUGCAGCAACGCCGCGUGCGGGAUGACGGCCUUCGGGUUGUAAACCGCUUUCGCCUGUGACGAAGCGUGGGUGACGGUAAUGGGUAAAGAAGCACCGGCUAACUACGUG